UUCGCCCCAGUAACGGCGAGUGAAGCGGCAACAGCUCAAAUUUGAAAUCUGGUCCCCAGGGCCCGAGUUGUAAUUUGUAGAGGAUGCUUUUGGCGAGGCGCCUUCCGAGUUCCCUGGAACGGGACGCCACAGAGGGUGAGAGCCCCGUCUGGUCGGAUGCCAAGCCUAUGUAAAGCUCCUUCGACGAGUCGAGUAGUUUGGGAAUGCUGCUCAAAAUGGGAGGUAUAUGUCUUCUAAAGCUAAAUAUUGGCCAGAGACCGAUAGCGCACAAGUAGAGUGAUCGAAAGAUGAAAAGCACUUUGAAAAGAGGGUUAAAAAGUACGUGAAAUUGUUGAAAGGGAAGCGCCUAUGACCAGACUUGGGCCCGGUGAAUCAUCCAGCGUUCUCGCUGGUGCACUUUGCCGGGCACAGGCCAGCAUCAGUUUGGCGCGGGGGAUAAAGGCUUCGGGAAUGUGGCUCCCUCGGGAGUGUUAUAGCCCGUUGUGUAAUACCCUGCGCCGGACUGAGGUACGCGCUCCGCAAGGAUGCUGGCGUAAUGGUCAUCAGCGACCCGUCUUGAAACACGGACCAAGGAGUCGUCUUCGUAUGCGAGUGUUCGGGUGUAAAACCCCUACGCGUAAUGAAAGUGAACGCAGGUGAGAGCUUCGGCGCAUCAUCGACCGAUCCUGAUGUUCUCGGAUGGAUUUGAGUAAGAGCAUACGGGGCCGGACCCGAAAGAAGGUGAACUAUGCCUGUAUAGGGUGAAGCCAGAGGAAACUCUGGUGGAGGCUCGCAGCGGUUCUGACGUGCGAAUCGAUCGUCAAAUAUGGGCAUGGGGGCGAAAGACUAAUCGAACCUUCUAGUAGCUGGUUUCCGCCGAAGUUUCCCUCAGGAUAGCAGUGUUGAACUCAGUUUUAUGAGGUAAAGCGAAUGAUUAGGGACUCGGGGGCGCUAUUUAGCCUUCAUCCAUUCUCAAACUUUAAAUAUGUAAGAAGCCCUUGUUACUUAGCUGAACGUGGGCAUUCGAAUGUAUCAACACUAGUGGGCCAUUUUUGGUAAGCAGAACUGGCGAUGCGGGAUGAACCGAACGCGAGGUUAAGGUGCCGGAGUGGACGCUCAUCAGACACCACAAAAGGUGUUAGUACAUCUUGACAGCAGGACGGUGGCCAUGGAAGUCGGAAUCCGCUAAGGACUGUGUAACAACUCACCUGCCGAAUGUACUAGCCCUGAAAAUGGAUGGCGCUCAAGCGUCCCACCCAUACCUCGCCCUCAGGGUAGAAACGAAGCCCUGAGGAGUAGGCGGACGUGGAGGUCAGUGACGAAGCCUAGG
rnacentral:rRNA from 1 species